GCAGCCUUCACACAUCUGCAGCCUCCAUCUGCUCCCCUGUUGUGGGAUAUCGUCCUCUGUUCGGGCAUCGCUUGCUUUGCACAAGACGUGUCUGUGUGAAAGUUUUACUGCACCACCCACUCCUUCUCGGCAGCUGCCUAUGCUCAAACAGCAUCCAUCACUCUGCAUCUGUCAGGAGCACACAGGGCAUCGGCUCGCAGAGGAAAUUCACACAGAACUUACAGUCCAGCUACAUCCAUGAGUUGACAGUUACCCGGCAAUGCGCCCAUGGAAAGGAAUAGUAAAAAAGAUGUUGGACGUUCAUGUCAGAAGCCCGACCAUGGGCGAAUCACCCACCACCUACAAUCCUCAGCCUCCCUCUCUGUCAGGGAGGGAGAAUAACAGCUAGCCCAUAUCUGUCCUGGUUGUGGUGAGAAUCAAGUGGAACAAUGUACAUGAACGCUUUGCAAACUGUGAAGCUCUGUGAGAUAUAGAGCAUUGUUAUUACCACUAUGACGCCAACUGUGAAGUGCACAAGAGAGCAAUCGGGUGGCAGACCACGUUCUUUGCCUUCCCAACAGCCAUUCCAUACUCCUUCCUUGCUCCCUGACCCCCAAUUGUGUUCAGGUAGCAGGUGGCUCUAUGUCUGGCACCCAGGAAUGGAUCGUGAUUCAUCCACAGGGUCGUGGAAGUCCCGUCUCUUCUUUGCAGCUUUGAGCCUUUCUCAGGAAGAACCCCCUGGAGGAUAUUUCAAUCAAAACAAAGCAGUAAACUAAGCGAAAGAAAUACAGAGGAAAACAAGGCUGUGGUCCAAGAAAGCGGACAGAGAAAACAAAGCAUGACAUACAGGAAACAGGAG
rnacentral:lncRNA from 1 species